GAUGAACGCUGACAGCAUGCUUAACACAUGCAAGUCAACUUGAACUUCGGUUCGGUUGGCGGACGGGUGAGUCACGCGUAAAGAACUUGCCCCACAGAUAGGGACAACUUCUGGAAACGAAUGCUAAUACCUGAUAUUAUGAUUCUAUGGCAUCGCACAAUUAUCAAAGCUAUAUGCGCUGUGAGAGAGCUUUGCGUCCCAUAAGCUAGUUGGAGGGGUAACGGCUCACCAAGGCGACGAUGGGUGGCCGGCCUGAGAGGGUGAUCGGCCACAAGGGGACUGAGACACGGCCAGUAUUCCUACGGGAGGCAGAAGGGGGGAAUAUUGGACAAGGGACGAAGAAUGAGAUACAGGAGUUCUGUGUGGGAGAUGAAGUUUUUCGGAAUGUAAAGUGCUUUCAGUUGGGAAGAAAAAAAUGACGGUACCGACAGAAGAAGCAACGGCUAAAUACGUG
rnacentral:rRNA from 1 species